CACGUACUCCCUCCGUCCGAAAAAACUUGUUCCUCAAAUGGAUGUAGCAUCAAGUUAGUGCUAGAUACAUUCAUUUGAAGGACAAGCUUGUGACAAGUUUUUUCGGAUGGAGGGAGUAUGUA
rfam:Triticum aestivum genome assembly, contig: Triticum_aestivum_CS42_TGACv1_scaffold_129689_2BL